AAUCAACGCUGGCGGCGUGCCUCAGACAUGCAAGUCGAACGCGAAAUUUCCCUUCGGGGAGAAAGUAGAGUGGCGCACGGGUGAGUAACACGUAGGUAAUUUGCCUUUGGGUGGGGAAUAACUCAGGGAAACUUGAGCUAAUACCGCAUAAUGCAGCGGCUCGACAUCGAGACAGUUGUUAAAGCGGGGGAUCGCAAGACCUCGCGCCUAAAGAGAAGCCUGCGGCAGAUUAGCAGUUGGUAGGGUAAUGGCCUACCAAGGCAACGAUCUGUAACCGGCCUGAGAGGGCGGUCGGUCACACUGACACUGACAUACGGGUCAGACUCCUACGGGAGGCAGCAGUCGGGAAUUUUGGGCAAUGGGCGAAAGCCUGACCCAGCAACGCCGCGUGAAGG
rnacentral:rRNA from 1 species